rnacentral:tRNA from 1 species
GAGGCCGUGGUGUAGUAGCAACACAGCUCUCUGUGGAAGAGCUAUCGCGGGUGCAAAUCCCGUCGGUCUCC